CUUUAGGGACCCCAACCACAGCGGACGGCCUUCCGGCCGGUCCUGCCCAUAAGUCGCCAACAGAGCCUGGGCCUC
rfam:Streptomyces caeruleatus strain NRRL B-24802 genomic scaffold PRJNA299234_s036, whole genome shotgun sequence.